CAUUGAAAUACCAGUUCCCAUACGAUCACUGAAGUUAAACAAUUGUGAGCCUGGCCAGUACCUAGAUGGGUGACUGCUUUGGAAUACAAGGUGCUGUAAG